GACCCACUCACACAGAGAAAGCCUCGCUGGAGUGUCAGAGGCUUGGGCAGGAGAUAAUUCGCCGUUGUGCUUGGAAAAUCCUGCAGUUGUACCUGCAACAGGCACCUGAGGAGGCUGGGCAAAUAUUAAUAUAUAAUACUUACUGAGUGCUUCCUAUGAACUAGGACCUCUGAGAAGAGAUUUAUGUGCAGACCUCCUCUAACCUUUCCAGCAGCCCAUGAGAUGCAAAAGAAAGACUUCUGGAUUCACAAAGCUCAUUUACUCAAAGAGGAGAUCCAAAAUAAGUGGAAAAGAUACUUACAGAGAAGUCAGGAAGAUCAUGGGUCGAUGGCGUAAAAUACAACUAAUAAGAGAAUCACCACGCAGGGUCUAUAUCAAAAGGUCAAAGACCAUGACGUCCCAGGCAUCGCCAGCCAGAAAGCUGCCAUGGAGCCUUCAUUGAACCCUUACCAUGGGACAGCCACUGAGCUAAGAGCAUUGCAUGCAUGAGCUCACAUAAUCCUCACAACACCAAAUGGAGAUAUCAUUAGCUCCAUUUCACAGAAGAAGCAAUCAAGGUUUACAGACAAUAGAGAACCUGGCAAAGUCAUCCAGCCUGUGUGUGGUAGAAGAAGAUUUGAAUUAAAUACUUUCCGCCUCCAAAGUCCUUGCUGUUAACUGAGCCGUGCUGCCUCCCAGAUGGUCACAGUCAUUGCUCCCUUCAUCUGAAUUUCCUCUUCUCUGUGCAUGCUUUUUCUCACAUGGGUAAGUAUCAAAAACUUUUCCUGUUCUCGGAUUUUAAGCCUUCUGGUUUUCUUUAAAGCACUCGGAAAAUCCUAUCUUUUGCUGGAAGUUGUCCUGACUGAAGGGAGCUCAGUCAAAAACUCCCCAUCUGCAUCCCAGGCAAACUCGUUGUCCCUUCCACUCCUCAGCAGUCACUCAGGCAUUAAAUAUUUAUAGGAUCUCAUUCCUGCAAACCAUUACCAUCAGUGGUAGAACUGAACUGAACUCAUUGACUGGAAAUAUAUGGCUCUUGGUUCCUUUUUUUUUUUUUUGCUUCUUUAGUCCAGUCCCUUGGUUUAUUUGUCUAAUGGCUGUGCUGGUAUAACACCGAUUUAGUUAUUAUUGCUCUAUAAUAAAUCUUAAUAAUGAAAGGGCAAGACCCUCUUUCUUCUUACUCAUUGUCAGAAGUGUGUAGGCUAUCCUUCCAUAUUUGUUAAACUUAAUUUCAUGAGAAGCCAUUUUGUAAUUUUAUUGAAAUUGCAUGAAAUCUACAGAUGAAUUUAGGA
rnacentral:lncRNA from 10 species